UUUGAUUCGGUCGGUGUCCCCAACUUGGAUGAGACCGUACUUGUGUGUUGAAUUGUAAUUAUGCAACGGCGGGUGUGGCGAUUGUAAAUGCUUUUGGCAGCAGAGAAACAACACCUAAGAAAAGGCCAGUGGAUAGAGUUGAGUGACGGGAUGUCCAAGUGCAAUGAACUUCUUACACGUAAAAACUUUUAUAGAAACUCGGUUUGUUUUGCUUUUGUCGAAUUCCCUCGACAUCUUUGCCUUUUUGUGCAACUUGAGGGAAACAGUCGGCUCCAGUGGGGUUGGGCCUGUCGUUGGCCUCCUGAUUUGAUUGUGCUACUUGAGGGAUGCAGCCGGCUCCAGUGGCGCUGGCCCCCCGAUUUGAGGUGGUUCGCUUGGUUUCGCAUGGUUGCUUCCACUUAGGCACUUAUAUCCCCCAAAAAGUGAAUCCCGCUCAUAAUAUU
rnacentral:lncRNA from 1 species